UGGGGAAUAUUGGGCAAUGGGCGCAAGCCUGACCCAGCCAUGCCGCGUGAGUGAUGAAGGCCUUCGGGUCGUAAAGCUCUGUGGGGAGGGAAGAAACCGUUUGUGGCUAAUAUCCACGAACCUUGACGGUACCUCCUUAGCAAGCACCGGCUAACUCCGUGCCAGCAGCCGCGGUAAUACGGAGGGUGCAAACGUUGCUCGGAAUCAUUGGGCGUAAAGCGCACGUAGGCGGCCUGUUAAGUCGGGUGUGAAAUCCCUGGGCUCAACCCAGGAAGUGCACUCGAAACUGGCGGGCUUGAAUAUGGAAGAGGGUCGCGGAAUUCCCGGUGUAGAGGUGAAAUUCGUAGAUAUCGGGAGGAACACCAGUGGCGAAGGCGGCGACCUGGGCCAAUAUUGACGCUGAGGUGCGAAAGCGUGGGGAGCAAACAGGAUUAGAUACCCCCGUAGUCC
rnacentral:rRNA from 1 species